rnacentral:rRNA from 1 species
UUACCUACGGGAGGCAGCAGUGGGGAAUAUUGCACAAUGGGGGAAACCCUGAUGCAGCAACGCCGCGUGAGUGAAGAAGUAUUUCGGUAUGUAAAGCUCUAUCAGCAGGGAAGAAGAUGACGGUACCUGAUUAAGAAGCCCCGGCUAACUACGUGCCAGCAGCCGCGGUAAUACGUAGGGGACAAGCGUUAUCCGGAUUUACUGGGGGUAAAGGGAGCGCAGACGGCAGUGCAAGUGUGGAGUGAAAGCCCGUGGCCCAACCCCGGAACAGCUCUGGAAACU